GGCUUUAUAGUUGAUUUACAAUGUUUAAUUGCAGAUUAAAAGGAAUAUUUAUAUUGGAGCUU
rnacentral:tRNA from 1 species